UUAAUUGAAACCAAAAAAGAGGUCUAUCACUGUUAAUGAUAUCAUUGAUUGAAAAUCCAAUUAAAAAG
rnacentral:tRNA from 1 species